rnacentral:piRNA from 1 species
UAUUCUGGCUUUGAAGAUGCUGUAUCCCACU